CUCUUUCUUCCUGUCUGCUUGGAAAGAUGGCGUCCCGCAAGGAAGGUACUGGCUCUACUGCCACCUCUUCCAGCUCCACCGCCGGCGCAGCAGGGAAAGGCAAAGGCAAAGGCGGCUCGGGAGAUUCAGCCGUGAAGCAAGUGCAGAUAGAUGGCCUUUCCAAUAUCAGAUGGAAAUGAUGCGGAGCCUUCGCCAUGUAAACAUUGAUCAUCUUCACGUGGGCUGGUAUCAGUCCACAUACUAUGGCUCAUUCGUUACCCGGGCACUCCUGGACUCUCAGUUUAGUUACCAGCAUGCCAUUGAAGAAUCUGUCGUUCUCAUUUAUGGUUAGUAGGAGGUUGUUUAUUCUUUUUUCCCUUAAUAUUAUUACUACUAUUUUUGCUUUCUGUCUUUUUUGCCUCUAAGAGCAGUCUGGCAGGCCUUCUCAAGUAAAUACCAACCCUGUUUCUGCAGCAGCCUCAGCAGCAGCUCAGUCUAGACAGGGUUUCCUUCUUUCUGUUUAUUUUUCUUGCUAUCAGAGCCCUGAUGUGUACAUUUUGGAAUGCUGGAGUAGCUGCUUCAUUUCUAUUCCUCCAUCUCCCCUCCCUCAUUGAA
rnacentral:sRNA from 1 species